AAACCGUUCAGGGGUAAACCUGAGAAACCCAAAAGAUCGAAUGGGGAGAUUCAUCGUCAGCUCAUUUUGUAUAUAUAUGAGUUAUGAUAUGGGUUACUACUUGUAGUAUUGCCUGUACAUUCUUGUAUAUUUUAUUGCAAGAUGUUGUCGGCGUGCACUUCUCCCCUAGUAGGACGUCGCGACCCGUUGAGUGUCGGUCUACGGCCCAAGUGGUAGCCUUUGAUUCUUGUAAUUAAAGACCCUUGGUGUUUCCUGGCUGACUGCUCGGCGGUAUUCGUACGGUAUUAAGCCGCUUUUGAGCGUUCAUAUCCGUCGCAAGCGCGGUCAAUUUUUGGUAGUACGGACCUAGUGCCGUCGCUAUAAUUGAUCAGCUGUUGGUUGUACGGUGUUCUAGAACUGGCUUAACUAUAUACCGGUCUGCGAUGCUACUGCUUUGGGUACUUUCAGGA
rnacentral:rRNA from 1 species